GAAGGUGAGGAGGAGGAGAGAGCUGCAAGUUUUGGAAUUGUGUGUAACUUGGGGCUCGUAUCCCCCACCCCACCCUU
ensembl:miRNA